UAGAUACCCUGGUAGUCCACGCCGUAAACGAUGUCGAUUUGGAGGUUGUGCCCUUGAGGCGUGGCUUCCGGAGCUAACGCGUUAAAUCGACCGCCUGGGGAGUACGGCCGCAAGGUUAAAACUCAAAUGAAUUGACGGGGGCCCGCACAAGCGGUGGAGCAUGUGGUUUAAUUCGAUGCAACGCGAAGAACCUUACCUGGUCUUGACAUCCACAGAACUUUCCAGAGAUGGAUUGGUGCCUUCGGGAACUGUGAGACAGGUGCUGCAUGGCUGUCGUCAGCUCGUGUUGUGAAAUGUUGGGUUAAGUCCCGCAACGAGCGCAACCCUUAUCCUUUGUUGCCAGCGGUUAGGCCGGGAACUCAAAGGAGACUGCCAGUGAUAAACUGGAGGAAGGUGGGGAUGACGUCAAGUCAUCAUGGCCCUUACGACCAGGGCUACACACGUGCUACAAUGGCGCAUACAAAGAGAAGCGACCUCGCGAGAGCAAGCGGACCUCAUAAAGUGCGUCGUAGUCCGGAUUGGAGUCUGCAACUCGACUCCAUGAAGUCGGAAUCGCUAGUAAUCGUAGAUCAGAAUGCUACGGUGAAUACGUUCCCGGGCCUUGUACACACCGCCCGUCACACCAUGGGAGUGGGUUGCAAAAGAAGUAGGUAGCUUAACCUUCGGGAGGGCGCUUACCACUUUGUGAUUCAUGACUGGGGUGAAGUC
rnacentral:rRNA from 1 species